CUUGUGCUCGACACUCACCGAACUCCUCUCGACUGCUGCCUGAGCUCCUCUCCGCUCCCAUCCUCGGAUUCACAUUUUUCGAUUGCCAUAGCAUCCUUUAAAGGCCUCAGAUCCUCAAUUUGAUUCAAUAAUUCAAAGUCCUAAUGCGACCCAAAUUAGCCUCCUAGCAUCAAAUCAAGCUCACUCAUCGUCCGAACUGUCUGAUCGUGCAAUCACGCGAAGAAUGGCACGUGAAACGCCUUCAAUCCACGAUGGACCGUGAGAAGCGUGAGGAAAAUGGGGUGUCGGUCUAUGUUGCUCUCCAUGGACCACGAUCUACAGUGGACCGUAGUACGCCA
rnacentral:lncRNA from 1 species